GCCUUCGUGGUGUAGUGGUCUGCAUGUUCGACGCGUAACCGAGAGGUCCGUGGUUCGAUUCCCGGCGAACGCG
rnacentral:tRNA from 1 species